CCAAUAGCGUAUAUUAAAGUUGUUGCAGUUAAAAAGCUCGUAGUCGAAUUUCGGGAUCAAUUCGUCGGUCGUGCUUUUUGGUACGUACUGGCGUUAUUGGUUUCUCCUUUCUGACGAGCCAUGAUGUCAUUAAUUUGGUGUUAUGGGGAGUUAGGACUGUUACUUUGAAAAAAUUAGAGUGUUUAAAGCAGGCAUUAGCUUGAAUACAUUAGCAUGGAAUAAUGAAAUAGGACGUUCGAUCCUAUUUUGUUGGUUUCUAGGAUCAACGUAAUGAUUAAUAGGGUUAGUUGGGGGCAUUAGUAUUCAAUUGUCAGAGGUGAAAUUCUUGGAUUUAUUGAAGACUAACUACUGCGAAAGCAUUUGCCAAGGAUGUUUUCAUUAAUCAAGAACGAAAGUUAGGGGAUCGAAGACGAUCAGAUACCGUCGUAGUCUUAACCAUAAACUAUGCCGACUAGGGAUCGGAUGAUGUUAAUUUUUUAAUGACUCAUUCGGCGCCUUACG
rnacentral:rRNA from 1 species